UACGUAGGGCGCAAGCGUUGUCCGGAAUUAUUGGGCGUAAAGAGCUCGUAGGCGGUUUGUCGCGUCUGUCGUGAAAGCUUGGGGCUUAACCCCAAGUCUGCGGUGGAUACGGGCAGACUAGAGUCAGGUAGGGGAGAACGGAAUUCCCGGUGUAGCGGUGAAAUGCGCAGAUAUCGGGAGGAACACCGGUGGCGAAGGCGGGUCUCUGGGCCUGUACUGACGCUGAGGAGCGAAAGCGUGGGGAGCAAACAGG
rnacentral:rRNA from 1 species